rnacentral:rRNA from 1 species
CGUAGGGUGCAAGCGUUAUCCGGAAUUAUUGGGCGUAAAGGGCUCGUAGGCGGUUCGUCGCGUCCGGUGUGAAAGUCCAUCGCUUAACGGUGGAUCUGCGCCGGGUACGGGCGGGCUGGAGUGCGGUAGGGGAGACUGGAAUUCCCGGUGUAACGGUGGAAUGUGUAGAUAUCGGGAAGAACACCAAUGGCGAAGGCAGGUCUCUGGGCCGUUACUGACGCUGAGGAGCGAAAGCGUGGGGAGCGAACAGGAUU